rnacentral:piRNA from 1 species
UACAUGUAAAAUAAUAAAAGAUACCUUGGGA